GCAUUGUUGGGGUAGUGGUAACCUGGGUCGUUGCCACCUCGUGCGCAUAUUCGACCCGCCCCGGGUUCAAUUCCCGGACAAUGCA